UAAUGUGAGGGUGAUCUGGCUGCGACAUCUGUCACCCCAUUGAUUGCCAGGGUUGAUUCGGCUGAUCUGGCUGGCUAGGCGGGUGCCCCCUUCCUCCCUCACCGCUCCGUGUGCGUCCCUCCCGAAGCUGCGCGCUCGGUGGAAGAGGAUGACCAUCCCAGAUAGAAGGAGUGGCCUCUAGAAGGUUGCCCACAAGGGAAUGCAGCCCUCAGCCUGGAAAAUGGUUCCCGUGUUUUAAUGGCACUCACCACCUGAGUUUGCUGAUAGGA